CAGUGUCCUUUGCGCACAUUUUGCGUAC
rnacentral:sRNA from 1 species